rnacentral:rRNA from 1 species
UACUGAGUUUACGCUCUAUAACCCUUUGUGAACAUACCUAUAACUGUUGCUUCGGCGGGUAGGGUCUCCGCGACCCUCCCGGCCUCCCGCCUCCGGGCGGGUCGGCGCCCGCCGGAGGAUAACCAAACUCUGAUUUAACGACGUUUCUUCUGAGUGGUACAAGCAAAUAAUCAAAACUUUUAACAACGGAUCUCUUGGUUCUGGCAUCGAUGAAGAACGCAGCGAAAUGCGAUAAGUAAUGUGAAUUGCAGAAUUCAGUGAAUCAUCGAAUCUUUGAACGCACAUUGCGCCCGCCAGCAUUCUGGCGGGCAUGCCUGUUCGAGCGUCAUUUCAACCCUCAAGCUCUGCUUGGUGUUGGGGCCCUACAGCUGAUGUAGGCCCUCAAAGGUAGUGGCGGACCCUCCCGGAGCCUCCUUUGCGUAGUAACUUUACGUCUCGCACUGGGAUCCGGAGGGACUCUUGCCGUAAAACCCCCCAAUUUUCCAAAGGUUGACCUCGGAUCAGGUAGGAAUACCCGCUGAACUUAAGCAUAUCA